rnacentral:rRNA from 14 species
GGGCGUUAAGUUGCAGGGUAUAGACCCGAAACCCGGUGAUCUAGCCAUGGGCAGGUUGAAGGUUGGGUAACACUAACUGGAGGACCGAACCGACUAAUGUUGAAAAAUUAGCGGAUGACCUGUGGCUGGGGGUGAAAGGCCAAUCAAACCGGGAGAUAGCUGGUUCUCCCCGAAAGCUAUUUAGGUAGCGCCUCGUGAAUUCAUCUCCGGGGGUAGAGCACUGUUUCGGCUAGGGGGCCAUCCCGGCUUACCAACCCGAUGCAAACUGCGAAUACCGGAGAAUGUUAUCACGGGAGACACACGGCGGGUGCUAACGUCCGUCGUGAAGAGGGAAACAACCCAGACCGCCAGCUAAGGUCCCAAAGUCAUGGUUAAGUGGGAAACGAUGUGGGAAGGCCCAGACAGCCAGGAUGUUGGCUUAGAAGCAGCCAUCAUUUAAAGAAAGCGUAAUAGCUCACUGGUCGAGUCGGCCUGCGCGGAAGAUGUAACGGGGCUAAACCAUGCACCGAAGCUGCGGCAGCGAC